rnacentral:rRNA from 1 species
GAUGAACGCUAGCGGCAGGCUUCAUACAUGCAAGUCGAGGGGCAGCAUAAAUUACUUGUAAUUUGAUGGCGACCGGCGAACGGGUGCGUAACGCGUAUGCAACUUACCUUUUACUAGAGAAUAGCCAAGAGAAAUUUUGAUUAAUGCUCUAUGUUCUUAUUUACUCGCAUGAGUAAAUAAGCAAAGCUCCGGCGGUAAAAGAUGGGCAUGCGUCCUAUUAGCUUGUAGGUGAGGUAAUGGCUCACCUAAGCUCCGAUAGGUAGGGGUCCUGAGAGGGAGAUCCCCCACACUGGUACUGAGACACGGACCAGACUUCUACGGAAGGCAGCAGUAAGGAAUAUUGGACAAUGGAGGCAACUCUGAUCCAGCCAUGCCGCGUGAAGGAAGACGGCUCUUAUGGGUUGUAAACUUCUUUUAUACUAGGAAGAAACCUUUCCACGUGUGGAAAGCUGACGGUACUGUAAGAAUAAGGAUCGGCUAACUCCGUGCCG